AAUUCGAUUGAGUUUGAUCAUGGCUCAGGACGAACGCUGGCGGCGUGCUUAACACAUGCAAGUCAAGGGGGCCCAGCAAUGGGCAACCGGCGAACGGGUGCGUAACACGUGAGCAACCUUCCGAAAUAUGGGGGAUAGCCGGCCUAACGGCCGAGUAAUACCGCAUACGCUCUCGAUGAGGCAUUUCAUUGAGAGGAAACCUACGGGGUAUUUCGAGGGGCUCGCGGCCUAUCAGCUAGUUGGCGAGGUAACGGCUCACCAAGGCAACGACGGGUAGCUGGUCUGAGAGGAUGGCCAGCCACAUUGGGACUGAGAUACGGCCCAGACUCCUACGGGAGGCAGCAGUGGGGAAUCUUGCGCAAUGGCCUAACGGCUGACGCAGCGACGCCGCGUGUGGGAUGAAGCUCUUCGGAGUGUAAACCACUGUUGCCCGGGACGAAUAGCUCGAUUAAUCGAGCCUGACAGUACCGGGUGAGGAAGCACCGGCUAACUCCGUGCCAGCAGCCGCGGUAAUACGGGGGGUGCGAGCGUUGUCCGGAAUCACUGGGCGUAAAGGGCGCGUAGGUGGUUUGAUAAGGGUGUGGUGAAAGUCCGGGGCUCAACCCCGGAUCUGCCGUGCCGACUGUCAAACUCGAGGACUGUAGAGGCAGACGGAAUUCCGGGUGUAGCGGUGGGAAUGCGUAGAGAUCCGGAGGAAGACCGGUUGCGAAGGCGGUCUGCUGGGCAGUUUCUGACACUGAGGCGCGACAGCGUGGGGAGCAAACAGGAUUAGAUACCCUGGUAGUCCAC
rnacentral:rRNA from 1 species